GACGGGGGCCCGCACAAGCGGAGGAACAUGUGGUUUAAUUCGAUGAUACGCGAGGAACCUUACCUGGGCUAGAACGCAUUCGGAAUCAGGCCGAAAGGCCUGCGCCAGCGAUGGCCGCUUGCGAGGUGCUGCAUGGUUGUCGUCAGCUCGUGCCGUGAGGUGUCGGGUUAAGUCCCAUAACGAGCGCAACCCCUACUGCUAGUUGCCAGCGGGUCAUGCCGGGGACUCUAGCGGAACUGCCAGCGUAAGCUGCGAGGAAGGUGGGGAUGACGUCAAAUCAGCACGGCCCUUACGUCCAGGGCUACACACGUGUUACAAUGGCCGGUACAGAGGGCAGCCACCCCGCGAGGGGGCGCGAAUCCCGAAAGCCGGUCCCAGUUCGGAUCGGAGUCUGCAACCCGACUCCGUGAAGCUGGAUUCGCUAGUAAUCGCGCAUCAGCCACGGCGCGGUGAAUACGUUCCCGGGCCUU
rnacentral:rRNA from 1 species